GGAAGCGAACGUGACCCUGGUGGGCACCGCGGUCUUCAAAGCCGUUGUUCUGGUGAAUAACUGGAAGGUGGGUUCGAUUCCCACACGUUUCCG
rnacentral:tRNA from 1 species